UGGCAUUAGAGUUUGAUCCUGGCUCAGGACGAACGCUGGCGGCGCGCUUAACACAUGCAAGUCGAGCGAGAACCGGCCCUUCGGGGCCGGGGAAAGCGGCGAACGGGUGAGUAACACGUGGGUAAUCUGCCCUCGGCAUCGGGAUAGCCCGGGGUAACCCGGAUUAAUACCGAAUGGCCCUGCAGCUCCACGGAGCGGCAGGAAAAGGUAGCUCCGGCCUCCGGCCGAGGAUGAGCCCGCGGCGGAUUAGCUUGUUGGUGGGGUAACGGCUCACCAAGGCGACGAUCCGUAGCUGGUCUGAGAGGACGAUCAGCCACACUGGGACUGAGACACGGCCCAGACUCCUACGGGAGGCAGCAGUGGGGAAUCUUGCGCAAUGGGCGAAAGCCUGACGCAGCGACGCCGCGUGCGGGAAGAAGGCCUUCGGGUUGUAAACCGCUUUCAGGAGGGACGAAGCCACUCGGGUUAAUAGCCCAGAAGGUGACGGUGCCUCCAGAAGA
rnacentral:rRNA from 1 species